rnacentral:rRNA from 1 species
GACGAACCGAGCGAACGUUAUUCGGAAUCACUGGGCUUGAAGGGCGCGUAGGCGGGCCGUCUGGUCCGGGGUGAAAGCCUCCAGCUCAACUGGAGAAGUGCCUCGGAUACCGGCGGCCUCGAGGGAGGUAGGGGCGUGCGGAACUUCCGGUGGAGCGGUGAAAUGCGUAGAUAUCGGAAGGAACACCAGUGGCGAAGGCGGCGCGCUGGACCUCUCUGACGCUGAGGCGCGAAAGCCAGGGGAGCGAACGGG